rnacentral:lncRNA from 1 species
GAGAGCCCUGCUGCAGAGCCUCCGGCUGGGAUAGCCGCCCCCCGUGGGGGCGAUGCGGACAGCGCGGGACAGCCAGGGGAGCGCGCGGGGGCCGCAGCAUGCGGGAACCCGCUAAACCCGG